AUCCAGCUGAAGAGUCCCAAAUAGGACAAAACGUGCUUCUUGAAU
rnacentral:hammerhead_ribozyme from 1 species